AUUGAACGCUGGCGGCAUGCCUUACACAUGCAAGUCGAACGGCAGCGCGGGGGCAACCUGGCGGCGAGUGGCGAACGGGUGAGUAAUAUAUCGGAACGUACCCUGGAGUGGGGGAUAACGUAGCGAAAGUUACGCUAAUACCGCAUACGAUCUAAGGAUGAAAGUGGGGGAUCGCAAGACCUCAUGCUCCUGGAGCGGCCGAUAUCUGAUUAGCUAGUUGGUAGGAAAAGCCUACCAAGGCAUCGAUCAGUAGCUGGUCUGAGAGGACGACCAGCCACACUGGAACCAGAC
rnacentral:rRNA from 1 species